GCGUCUUAACAUGCAGUUCGAACGAUGAACCACUUCGGUGGGGAUUAGUGGCGAACGGGUGAGUAACACGUUGGGCAAUCUGCCCUGCACUCUGGGACAAGCCCUGGAAACGGGGUCUAAUACCGGAUACUGACCCGCCUGGGCAUCCAGGCGGUUCGAAAGCUCCGGCGGUGCAGGAUGAGCCCGCGGCCUAUCAGCUUGUUGGUGAGGUAACGGCUCACCAAGGCGACGACGGGUAGCCGGCCUGAGAGGGCGACCGGCCACACUGGGACUGAGACACGGCCCAGACUCCUACGGANGGCAGCAGAC
rnacentral:rRNA from 1 species